CUUCCGGGUUCAGACGACGCCGAAAUGAAACCUUAACGCUGUCGGGGCCGAGAGAAAUUUGCCCGGAGUUUCUUUAUCGCCCCACCCGGGGAGGGGGGUGUGACGUCACGGUGAAGCAUAUCGCCACGCGUGACGUCACCUCAGAAAAACGCGGAUUUGGGCCAUGGCGGAGGGGCAGCGGCUGCGGCUGGUGCAGGAGGGGCGGCUGGAGCUGCUUCGGGUCGAGCUGCCCCCGGAUGCCGUUCGGGGCUCGGAGGAGCAGAACUGGCGCUACGGGCGCUCAGGAGACACGUUGCUGCACCACGCAGCCCGGUACGGACACCGCGACGUCCUCGCCUACUUGGUGGAGACGCUGGGGAUGGACGUUGAGGUGUUUAAUAGCGACUACAAGAGGCCUCUCCACGAAGCGGCUUCCAUGGGGUACGGGGAGUGUGUUUCCUACCUGCUGGAGAGAGGAGCGAGCGUGGACUGCUUGAAGAAGGCAGAUUGGACCCCCCUCAUGAUGGCUUGCACCCGGAAAAACCUGGAGGUGAUCAAAGCUCUCGUGGAACAUGGAGCCAAUCCGCUGCUGAAGAACAAGGAUGGCUGGAAUUGCUUCCACAUCGCCAGCCGGGAAGGCCAUCCCCAAGUCCUCCGGUACCUGCUGGAUGUGUCCCCAAGCUGCUGGGACACGGAGAGCACGAUAAAGAGAACACCACUGCACACAGCAGCGAUGCACGGCUGCGUGGACGCCGUGGAGCUGCUUCUGGAGCGGUGCCAGUACAAACCUGACAGCAGAGACAAAUGUGGAGUCACUCCCUUUAUGGAUGCAAUCCAGAAUGGGCAUGUCAACAUCGCCAGGCUGCUUCUGGAAAAACACCAGGCCUGUCCCACAGCUGUGGACGCUUUGGGUGCUCAAGCUCUGCACAGGGCAGCUGUCACGGCACAGGAUGAAGCCAUCCGGUUCCUCGUCACCGAGCAGGGUGUCGAUGUCAACGAGAGAGCGACGGACAUUCAGCUCACAGCGCUGCACUACGCAGCCAAGCCUCUGGGUUGGAAUUCCUGCCAGGGACAUGCGAGACGUGCAGACACGCUCCAAGCUCCGACUCCUCUCACAGUUCACAGUAUCACACAGUAUCACAGUAUAUUUGGGAUUGGAAGUGACCUCAAAAGAUCAUCUAGUCCAAUCCCCCUGCUGGAGCAGGAACGCCCAGGAAGGACACACGCACACCAUCCAGACGCUGCUGUCCCUCGGCGCUGAUGUCCGCGCAAAGGACGGGAAGAACCGCUCUGCCCUGCACGCCGCGUGCGCGGGGCAGCAAGCAGACGCUGCACGGAUCCUGCUCCGCGCCGGGCUGGAGGACGCUCCGGAUGGCACCGGCACGCUGGCACGGCAGCUCGCCAGGAAGCCAGAUGUCAUCCAGGUGUUCCAGGAAACAGAUGUCAGCGCGUGAGACCUACUGGGAAAAAAAGAGAAGCCUGUUUCAUUUCAAUGUGCUCCCAGCACGUCCAACCAGCUGAGGCUGCAGCUCCCUGAAGCGGAACCCUCCAAGGAAGGGACCUGGGGACCUGCAUGGCUUGAACCCUCCAGAGCCUGCGAUGUUUCCCUUCUCCUAAAGGAGAAGAUACACCUGGAUCGGUGAUUUUUAUAGCCCUUAAUGAACUGGCUCUCCACUAAUUUCUUAAAUUGCUUUAAUUGGCCACCUCUUUCAGUAGCCCCUGAGAGGCUGAGUGCAUUGUGGGGUGAGCCCUUGGUGACUCUUCCUUCAUCAGGUUUGAGCUGCAUUAGCAUCUUAACAUCUUUUUUGUGUCCCAAAACCUGCUGAGAUCAAUGCAAAGACCUUCACCGUGCAGUGACACCAAGGGUUUUUGGAUCAGACUGAAAAUAAGAGGUAUUUGUUAUUCCAGACAGCCUUGCGUGGCACUUACCAGCACCAAUGAACUUCAAAAAACACCCAAUCCUGCUCUUUGAAUAUAGAGAAAUAGCUUAAAAUUCAAUGUAGCCAGUAAGUUUCUUAACAGCUUGGAAUCCACAUCAAGGUAAGCGCUACUGUAGCUGUUCGGUUUAUUUGUAUCCAUCUGGAAUUAUAAAUUUGGGUUUGCAUAGAAACACAGCACGUCCCUGUCUAUAUGUAACAUCAAGAUGUAAAACAAACCAACGGGAUUCUGCGGUUUUGGUGAUAACAGAUGCUAAAAAUCAGGCCUAUAGCUGAGUGAGCUGCGUUUUGCUCUGCCCACGCCACGGUGCUCACGUCGUGGUUUGAUGCACGACCCACGUGCUCCCAGGUGGGUUUAGGAUGAUCCUGAGCCCCGCUUGAGUGAGAAAUUCCCACCCCGCGGUCCCUGGAGCAGAGUUUGUGGUGACAAUGAGCCGAAGCGACAACAUUGCUGCUAUUUCUUGAGUUAAACAUCCUUUACAUGCGGGGUUGAGGCCUUUCCCCUCUGCCGGCUCGUGUUGUGUGAGGAGAGGUAGUGGCUUUAUUCCUCUAAAGAUCCCGAAUCCUUCUAUAAAUCCAGCCCUGGCUUCCGUACAGCGAAACUACAGCCUGGUAAAUGCAAGCGUCGACUUUAUUCCCACUUUUUAUUAUUUUAGCAAACUGUGAAAUAGCUGUUUCCUCUUAAUAUCCCUGCUGACAAGCUCAGGUUGCUCGUGAGCCUCAGCUUCAAUGAGAAAGCGAGAAUGUUGUCAAAUGCCCGUCUUGGCAAACACCUUGAAAACGUAAAAGGGAAUCUGCAUUAUUUUUAAGGUGCUUUAUGAUUUCUAAAGGCUUCUGGACAGAGGGCUUGUCUGCCUGGGACGGACAGCUCAGGCAUCAUGCCCAAGACCAAAAGCAAGACAUAACGCAGCGACUUUUAUUUACCCUUCUUUUAAAUCUACCCCUCAGGCAAUAAAAAGAUGCACAGAAACAAA